UACGAAGGGGGCUAGCGUUGCUCGGAAUUACUGGGCGUAAAGCGCACGUAGGCGGUCUUUUUAAGUCGGGGGUGAAAUCCUGGAGCUCAACUCCAGAACUGCCUUCGAUACUGGAAGACUUGAGUCCGGGAGAGGUGAGUGGAACUGCGAGUGUAGAGGUGAAAUUCGUAGAUAUCAAGCGGAACACCGGUGGCGAAGGCGGCCUUCUGGGACGAUGACUGACGCUGAGACGCGAAAGCGUGGGGAGCAAACAGG
rnacentral:rRNA from 1 species